rnacentral:rRNA from 1 species
UACGGAGGGGGCUAGCGUUGUUCGGAAUUACUGGGCGUAAAGCGCGCGCAGGCGGUCCUUCAAGUCAGAGGUGAAAGCCCAGAGCUCAACUCUGGAAUGGCCUUUGAGACUAGAGGACUUGGGUACGGGAGAGGUGAGUGGAAUUCCGAGUGUAGAGGUGAAAUUCGUAGAUAUUAGGAAGAACACCAGUGGCGAAGGCGGCUCACUGGCCCGGUACUGACGCUGAGGCGCGAAAGCGUGGGGAGCAAACAGG